rnacentral:lncRNA from 1 species
GAUCCAAAAAAGUGACUGAUAUGUCAACCCUUAAUAAUUUAGACAAAAUAUGAAAUAUCAUAACAGGAAAAUACCUCUUCUCUAUCAUAACUUCAUGUUCGUUUCCGUUUGGAUCACUCAAUGUUACAUAUGUAGAAAUUUAAUACCCAAACUCCCUUGUAAACAUUUAUGAACAAUUAAAUUUGUUACAUAUGUACGAAUAUAAAGCACAAUUAAAUAUUUAUGAACAUGUAGGACGUAUAUUAUGUUAAUUACUAAUGAAGUUAACUACGCCUAACAUAAUACGAUCAAGCAUAGAUUAAAAAGCAACUUAUUGAAG